rnacentral:lncRNA from 1 species
CAAUAACAAUGCUAGUUAAGAAGUAGAGGACUGUGUAAAAAAAAAAAAAAGUCAAAAUUUUCUCUCAAAUGGCUCCACGGACAUAGCAUCUUCUCUAGUCAUUUCGAACAUUCGAUUUUGGGUAAGCUUUUAACAUGGAGAGAGUUAUCUUCUCCCCUGAUGUCUUCAUCAUCAAGCUAUACAUGCGACCUUGGCAUUUGAA